rnacentral:rRNA from 1 species
UACGUAGGGUGCAGGCGUUAAUCGGAAUUACUGGGCGGAAAGCGUGCGCAGGCGGUUUCUUAAGUCAGAUGUGAAAGCCCCGGGCUUAACCUGGGAACUGCGUUUGAAACUGGGAGACUUGAGUGUGGCAGAGGGGGGUGGAAUUCCACGUGUAGCAGUGAAAUGCGUAGAUAUGUGGAGGAACACCGAUGGCGAAGGCAGCCCCCUGGGUUAACACUGACGCUCAUGCACGAAAGCGUGGGGAGCAAACAGG